UCCCCGAUAGCUCAGGGGUAAAGAAUCCACCUGCAAUGUGGGAGACACGGGUUCGAUCCUGGUGGGGGAA
rnacentral:tRNA from 1 species